CUGGGCGUCAGGCAUGAGCAGUCAUCCGCCGCCCGAUUUGGCGCUGGAUGUGAGUCGUUUGAUGGACUCCGUGAGGGAAGAAAUCAUGCA
rnacentral:SRP_RNA from 1 species